rnacentral:lncRNA from 1 species
ACAAUUAUCAAUUUGAAGAUUAUUACAUGAUCAGGUUGGUUAUUCUUCUUCUUCUUCUUUAACUUCACCCUUGCUGUAAGUUUAUCUUCUUCUUCAAUAUACUAGUUAUUCCACGUCUCAACUAAACCAACAUUUUCAUCUCAAUAUGCAAUUCUACACUCAAAUUUUUCUCACUCUUCAAAACCCUUUUGAAUCUAGUAACUGCUUUUAUUCAAAUAAUUUGGCUUUUAUUAAAUAUAUGUCUUUACGCUCAAUGCCCAUUAACUGUUUGUUGAAAUGUCUCUUCCAGAUGUUAUAACUGGUGAUCAUCUCUGACCUUGCAAGUUAGUUUUUUAAAGUUUAGACUUCAAGAUAGAAUACAGAGUGUAGGUUACUUUAGUUGUUGAAGGCUCUAAUUCACAGUGCUAUGUUGUAUAAUAAGUCAAAAAUAAAAUUGGUCAAAGUUCAAAAUAGAUUAUAAACCCUUUAGGUGUUUAUUUCCCACUUUUGAAAUAUCACACAUAAUCAUUACAAUAUGUUGGUAAGUUUUCAUUGUCUUUGAUGAAUUCAAUUGUUAACUGUAGGAAAAGAAGAUAUCCAAUGCAUAAAAUACAGUGAGGUUAUUGCAGUUAACAGUUGAGUUUCAUUCCUUUAUCGAAAUUAAAGGGAAAGGUUCAAAAAUGCAACUUCUUAGCCUUGACAGAAUCCCCUAUUUCAGUAAAUAUAACCACUCAUGAGAAAAAUACAGAAAUAUUCGGCAAGCACAAGGGUUAAGUACUAGAAAUUACCCCUUACCAAGGAAAUGGGAG